AUACGGAGGAUGCGAGCGUUAUCCUGAUUUAUUGGGUUUAAAGGGAGCGUAGGUGGGAUAUUAAGUCAGCUGUGAAAGUUUGGGGCUCAACCUUAAAAUUGCAGUUGAUACUGGUUUCCUUGAGUACGGUACAGGUGGGCGGAAUUCGUGGUGUAGCGGUGAAAUGCUUAGAUAUCACGAAGAACUCCGAUCGCGAAGGCAGCUCACCGGGCCGGAACUGACACUGAUGCUCGAAAGUGCGGGUAUCAAACAGGAUUAGAUACCCUGGUAGUCCGCACAGUAAACGAUGAAUACUCGCUGUUUGCGAUACACUGUAAGCGGCCAAGCGAAAGCGUUAAGUAUUCCACCUGGGGAGUACGCCGGCAACGGUGAAACUCAAAGGAAUUGACGGGG
rnacentral:rRNA from 1 species